ACACUCUUGUUCCUUUUCAGACCGUAUAAAUCUUUCGCCUUUUACUAAAGAUUUCCGUGGGGAGGAACAGCAAGAGUUUGAGUCAAUUUUUGAAGUUCUGCUAAGCAGACCU